AGGACGAACGCUGGCGGCGUUGCUUAACACAUGCAAGUCGAACGAGAGGACAAGAGAAGCUUGCUCUUUUGGAAUCGAGUGGCGAACGGGUGAGUAACGCGUGAGGAACCUGCCCUCAAAGAGGGGGACAACAGUUGGAAACGACUGCUAAUACCGCAUAAGCCCACGGCUCGGCAUCGAGCAGAGGGAAAAGGAGUGAUCCGCUUUGAGAUGGCCUCGCGUCCGAUUAGCUAGUUGGUGAGGUAACGGCCCACCAAGGCGACGAUCGGUAGCCGGACUGAGAGGUUGAACGGCCACAUUGGGACUGAGACACGGCCCAGACUCCUACGGGAGGGCAGCAGUGGGGAAUAUUGCACAAUGGGGGAAACCCUGAUGCAGCGACGCCGCGUGGAGGAAGAAGGUCUUCGGAUUGUAAACUCCUGUUGUUGAGGAAGAUAAUGACGGUACUCAACAAGGAAGUGACGGCUAACUACGUG
rnacentral:rRNA from 1 species